rnacentral:rRNA from 1 species
GGGUCAGUAGGUUGGUCGUGCCACCGGUACGUACUGGUCUCACUGAUUCCUCCUUCCUGAAGAACCGUAGUGCCAUUAAUCUGGUGUUGCGGGGAAACAGGACUGUUACUUUGAAAAAAUUAGAGUGUUUAAAGCAAGCUAACGCUUGAAUACAUUAGCAUGGAAUAAUGAAAUAGGACGAUCGAUCCUAUUUUGUUGGUUUCUAGGAUUGACGUA